ACUUUUAAAUUUUAGAACACUUUUUUCUAUUUGAAGAAAAUCUUUAUAUACCACUCCUUGAGUAACACUUUCUUUAAAUGUCAAUUCUUUGUCAAUUGGUUUUUAUCCAGACUGUGCCUGCAAUAUGCUAAUGAAGAUACACAGAAACAAAUCUUCUGAAUGAGGCUUCCAACAAGGCUGAUCCCAUGAUAGCCCUGGUUGUGCCAGGCCUAUUUGGCUCCUCAUGCUCAUGCCUCCCACUUGGACUCAAGCCAGACCUGGAUCCUGAAAGCCCAAUCAUGGAGUAUUUUAGGAGCCCCAUCCACAAAGAUUGAAGAAAGAGGAUUAUUUUGCUUGCCUGUGAUUGGUUUCUGUAGAAGAGCAGGGUUGGUUUCUGUAGAAGAGCAGAACGGAAGCAACUUCACCACUCUAUACCAAUGGCAUUUCUGAGUGGACAAGCUGAAAUUCAGUAAUGUCUCCAAGCAUCGUGGCUCUUCUCUCAAAAUGAACUUUGAGGCUGCUAACCCUGCAUGACGUAGCCUACGGGACACUCCACUCCCUCCCUGUUCUCAUCAAACAAGAGAAGUUGCACAAGCUGGAGGGGCAGCUGGAUCACAGUUUAUGCUGCCCCCAGGAUACAUCUUUCAUCCUAAUGGUGCUUAUUCAGCUGUGGGGAUGCAUUGGUAUCUAGCUGAUUUUUGAAAAAGUGCAAAAAUCCAUUUAAAAACACAACCAAAUCCUCCUUUUGAGAUAGGGGCCUUGUG
rnacentral:lncRNA from 1 species